rnacentral:lncRNA from 1 species
GCUGUCCAAUUCAGCAACAUAUCAGCAGACUCGGGUAACCUGUUUCUUUGUUACAAUAAACAUUGUUUCGUCAAUGCCUGACUCAGCUCAUUCUUAGAAAGAAUUUAAUAUUGGCGACGAGGAUGGGAUGCUGCCUGAAAGCUGAGGAAGAACAGAGCCGGAGAAGGAAAUCAGUGUUCAAUGGAAAUUGAUACCGGCUCAUCGCUAUCCAUUGUAUCCUGGAGCACUUUAAAAAGGAAGUGCACUCAGUCAGGAGAUAUUCGAAAAAGAACAGUCAUCUCACCACUGCCAGCAUCAACAAGAAUUAUAUAUGCUGCAAUUUGUGCCUGUGGUAAUGUACAUACUGUAUGCUGAGUGGCCUUGCAACACCAGAGAACUAAACAUCCAUCAAAGUAAUCAGUGAGCUCCAAGAUAGAAGCAAAGAAUGUUACACCCACUUGG